rnacentral:rRNA from 1 species
AGGGCAUAUGGUGGAUGCCUUGGCUUGAAGAGGCGAAGAAAGACGUGGUACGACUGCGAAAAGCUUCGGGGAGGUGUCUAACAACCUUUGAUCCGGAGAUUUCUGAAUGGGGAGACCCAGCUGAAUAAACUUCAGUUAUCCUAACUUUGUGUUAGGAGGCGAACCCAGGGAAUUGAAACAUCUUAGUACCUGGAGGAAAAGAGACCAAUAUAUAGAUUUUUUACUGUGCUGAUAUGCUUGUCAGUACGGUAAAAAAUCUUGGCAUUUCCUUAGUAGCGGCGAGCGAAACGGAAGGAGCCCAAACCAGACCCUUCGGGGUUUGGGGUUGUAGGGUAGUGACUUCUUAACGAGGAGAGUCAAAAAAAGUAUUUGUUAGUGGAACGUGCUGGAAAGUACGGCCCCAGAGGGUAAUAGCCCCGUACAUGAAAACAAAUACAUCUCUCUUGUCAUUAUUCCUGAGUAGCGUGGGACAUGAAUAGCCUGCGUGAAUCUGGGUGGACUAACACCCAAGGCUAAAUACUCUUCAAGACCGAUAGUGAACUAGUACCGUGAGGGAAAGGUGAAAAGAACCCCGGGAGGGGAGUGAAAUAGAUCUGAAACCAUAUGCUUACAAGGAGUCGGAGCGGACUUUGAUCCGUGACGGCGUGCCUAUUGAAGAAUGAGCCGGCGAGUUUGCGCAUGCGGCUUGGCUAAGGGGAGACCCCCGGAGCCACAGCGAAAGCGAGUGUGAAUAGCGCGACCUUUAGGUCGUACGCGCAAGACCCGAAGCUAGGUGAGCUUGCCAUGGGCAGGGUGAAGCGGCAGUAACAUGCCGUGGAGGCCCGCACCGGUUGGUUGUACAACGCCAUCGGAUGACCUGUGGUAGGGAGUGAAAAGCUAAUCGAACCUAGCAAUAGCUGGUUCUCUCCGAAAUAGUUUUAGGACUAGCGUUAUGUGUUCCUGCUGGGGGUAGAGCACUGGAAGGUCUGAAUAGGGGGAAACUUCGUCAGACCUAUCAAACUCCGAAUACCAGUAGUUAAAACAUAGCAGUUAGAACGUGGGGGCUAAGCUCCACUGUUCAAAAGGGAAACAGCCCAGACCGCCAGUUAAGGUCCCUAAAUCCAUGCUCAGUGCAUCUUAAGGAGGUGAAAUUUCUGCAACAAUCAGGAGGUUGGCUUAGAAGCAGCCAUCCUUUAAAGAUAGCGUAACAGCUCACUGAUCCAGAGAUUUUGCGCCGAAGAUGAUCGGGGCUUAAGCAUGGUACCGAAACUGCGGAUGUCAUACUUUUGUAUGACGUGGUAGGAGAGCGUUCCAUUCUGCGAUGAAGCCAAAGGGGUAACCCAUGGUGGAGCGUAUGGAAGUGAGAAUGCCGGCGCGAGUAACCGCAAUGCAGGUGAGAUCCCUGCACGUCGAAAUCCCGAGGUUUCCUUGGCUAUGGUGAUCAGCCAAGGGUUAGUCGGGCCUAAGGAGAUCCCGAAAGGGGGAUCCGAUGGACAGAUGGUUAAUAUUCCAUCACCUCAGCAUACUGCGAAGGGGGGACGGAGUGUUGUACCUUAAGCGACUUAUCGACUUGUCGUCCGUGCCGUGAGGAUGGUAUUUAGGAAAAUCCGGAUACCUUUGUUUAAUCAUGAAUCCAAGCGGAGCGGGAAGCUGGCGGCUUCGGCCAACGGCAACUUAAGGGAGCACGCUUCCAAGAAAAGCCUCUAAGCUCUAGGUAUGUUGAGUCCGUACCGUAAACCGACACAGGUGGGAAGGUCGAGUAGACCAAGACGAACGAGUGAUUUCUCCCCAAGGAACUCGGCAAAAAAGCGGCCGUAACUUAGGGAUAAGGCCUGCCUCUGGGGCAACUCAGAGGCCGCAGCGAAAGUUUGCCUGGCGACUGUUUACCAAAAACACAGCUCUCUGCGAACACGUAAGUGGAUGUAUAGAGGGUGACGCCUGACCAAUGCCAGAAGGUUAAAUAUUGAUGGUGAUUUUCUUUUGAAUUUUGCUGGUUGAUAUAAGCCCUGGUCAAUGUCAGCGAUAACUAUAAUCGUUCUAAGGUUUGCUACAUAUCAUUUUGAUGUGUGGCGAAGGACUGGAACGAUUAUGGUGGAGAAGUUGGUAAUAGAUACACAGUAGCUGCCUCGCUAUGUAGCAAUACGUAGUUGGUUCGGAGGAAACUCCAAAAACAUGGCCAUAUGCUGGAAACCAAACAGUACUGUUUGGCAAUCAGCAGGUAACCAUACGGUUCGAGACCCGUAUGGCACCUCAGAGACUAUACGCCAUGCUCCGCUUCGAGCGGAUGAAGAUAUAGUCCAACGUCGUAAGGAAACGCAGAGCGAAAUUCCUUGUCGGGUAAGUUCCGACGCGCACGAAUGGUGUAACGACUGGGCAGCUGUCUCGGGGAGUAGCUCGGUGAAAACGCAAUACCGGUAAAGAUGCCGGU